CUGGUCACGGUGAGGGUCAAGCAUCAGUCCAGUUGUGACAUCUCUGUGAGUGGACAUAUCACUCUAACUUAGAUGUGCCGCAACUCUUGGUACUCUGGGUGCCCCCAGUUUAAGAUUCAAACUGUCUUAAUAGAGAGGACAAGACCCAUAGGUACUAAUAUGGAGUGUGAUUCUCAGCAUUCAUCCCAAAAGAGCCAAGCCAUCAAGAAAACCUGUUCUGCCUUUGCAAAUUAAAUGGAAUACUUAAGAGUUCACAUGAAGAAAAUACAAAACAUGUAAACAGCUCUUUGAGGUUUAACAAGCUGAAGACUUAGCUGAAUGUUUUCUGCAACUUGACAAUCAGAAGUGACAUCCACACAAUAGAAUGUCCUUCUUCUUAGCAGAUCCAUUGUUUCUCUGCUAAUAAAUGCAAGCGUCACAUGAAAUCCACUUCUCGUUUCAUUUUCUGCAGCAUAACGUAGAGCUAAACAACCAGCACUCCAGCAGACCUCCACCAUGCUCCCACACGACGCGUAAAGUCUCUACAACAGGAUAUGCCUGCACUUACUGAGUCCCUUUUCUUGCUAGGAGGACAGCAGAGAGAAGAGUCUCUUUUAGACAGCCAUCACUAGUCUGACGGACCGAAGGACAGUGUCUUCCGAGGACUGGGACGGAUUCUUGACUCGGGUGUUUGGGAAGCGGAGGGGGGAGUCGCCUUCCUCGGAUUUCGAGUGUCUUGACCUUGGUCCCUCAGUCAUCCAUCAAGUGUCUAUGCGCUGGCACCUGAGAGCCCUCCUGGAUGGGCCUGCCCUCACCCGCAGCGGCAGACACAGUCUGGCCGCACUAAUCCAGAAAAACUGCAUGCCUGCAGGAACGUCAGGUCCAGAGACGACAGGGAGUAGGAACUAAGUCAGGACAGAAUGUCACGAUCACCUUUUACCAGCCCCUGUGCCUCUGUGUGCCCAGGCCUUGCACUCGCACAGUCCAGCCGGCUCCCUCGGGCCACAGCAGGUGUGAGCAGCACUGUGUGCUGCAGGAGGCAGAGAGAAAACGGAGGGACACCCCUGACCUGGGAGUGUGCCAUCAGGUGCCUUGGGCGACCCUCUUCCCAGUGCUGCCACCUCUGACUGCAGC
rnacentral:lncRNA from 1 species